rnacentral:rRNA from 1 species
ACAAAGGGUUGCUACACAGCGAUGUGAUGCUAAUCUCAAAAAGCCGAUCGUAGUCCGGAUUGGAGUCUGCAACUCGACUCCAUGAAGUCGGAAUCGCUAGUAAUCGCGGAUCAGAAUGCCGCGGUGAAUACGUUCCCGGGCCUUGUACACACCGCCCGUCACACCAUGGGAGUUUGUUGCACCAGAAGUAGCUAGCCUAACUGCAAAGAGGGCGGUUACCACGGUGUGGCCGAUGACUGGGGUGAAGUCGUAACAAGGUAGCCGUAGGGGAACCUGCGGCUGGAUCACCUCCUUAA